rnacentral:lncRNA from 1 species
AGGUACCAACUUGCUCAUCAGGUGACUCGUGACCUCACACUAGUCGUAGCAAUACAAACAAACAGUGUAUAGGAAAAAUUAACAUCACACCAAACAUAUAUGCAAAAUACAUAUUAAUGAUCUACAUAUUAAAAUAAAAUCACAGGAACAAGAAUUAUUAAUUUUGAAGUUAUAGAUUUUAAGUUAUGGACUUCCAAAAGUUCUAGGUGCUAGGUACAAGAUUAAUUAGGAGAUUAAUUUUAAUAUGACUUUCAUGUCAAAACAGUGAAAUAAAAUGAUAAACAAUAAUAUUACAAAAUUAAUGUCACUGAAAUGGAUCAAUUCGGAAUUAGAAUGGAUUUUCUAUGAAUUAAAUAAGUUUCUGAAAUUAUUUUAACACUAAAAUCAUUUUCUAAUUGAAUUUAUUUGGUUUCCUACUCCUCUGUACUGCGCGCAUCAAUCCAGAGAACUGUAGGGUGCCAUCUGUAAAUUCUUGGGCCAUCGUGCAAUUACUUAAGAACUGACUAGGAUCGCGGGUUGAUUAGCCAAUUGUUCAGGGUCUCUUUUACAAACUCACCCGCUCCGAAGGGGUAUGGGGUCACAAGAGCCGUCCAAUCACCAUCGAACCACCCUGAUCAGACCCCGAGGGUUUAUGAAGCUGUAAGCAAUCAAGGUCGUUGGAUCAACGACCAGGCGCCUGGAUUUUAAGUCCUUAGGUCGAUUAUCACGCGCCGGAUCCACAUCGGACGACCGAGAAGAGUUCAGGCCAAACCAGAAUCCGGGAUCAAAUCCCAGCCCUUCAUCUGGGAUUGACGGCCCAUAUUCCACCCCCAUCGCCCAAGCCUGGUAACGGUGGCGCUGCCUGAGGCCACGGCGAGGCAUCGCCGGUGAGCCUACUGGAUGGCGGUCCUGUGCUCUAGAUCCCAAUCCGGGGAGCGCUACACGGAGACAAGAUCCCAACAACAGAUAUAGGUUCACGUACCAAUGGUGAGGAUGCCGAUAUUCUCCGACCACGGCGCUAGUGGUUCCGCGGCGGAGCAGCGGCAUGGGUGAGAAAUUCUGGUGGCCACGAGGUCCUUCUCCGCCCCCCGACGACAACGCAAGCAUCGAAGCUCGCCGUCGACCAACGAACCGAGUGCAUCCAUCCCAAUACCUCGCGCGUGAAGAAGAUCCGUACCGCCGGUCACCACGGCAUCUUCCUUCUCUCCUUCUCUCUUGCCCCAGUCGGUGGUGGUGGCCAACACAGCAGCGGCAUCUGGCUUUCUCUCUCCAUCUCUCUCCGCUGCUUGCUCGGAGGCCUCACGAGUCUCGACGAUGGCCGAGGGAGUCACAACCCGCGUAUAUUUAUACGCCCAGAACUAAAGGAGAUAGGAUCGGCUAGCAAGGAUCACGUAUAUGUGAUGUCAGGGGUGACAUCGUGAUGACGUCAAAUCCGGCAAGGUGAAUAAAAUAACAAUAGAAAUAAAAAAAAACCCCUCAACAUCCACUUCCUAGCGCACGGUGGCAGCCCAUCAGGUGUGGCUAGCUAGCGCCAUCAGCCCAAGACCAGGUUGUGUUUUCCCCUUUCAUUCACCCCUUUUUUUAAUUAAAUCUCGAUUUCUCCAAAUUUGAAUUCCAAGUUUUUUUACACGUAUAUUAAACUCACAAACAAAUAAAACACCAGAAUGCCAAGUAUAGUUUUAUGUUGCUUAAUUAUUUACCACCUUACUCAUUUAUGUUGGUGCUUCCAAAUAUACAAUUCAUGCGUCUAAAUUUAAUAAUUUUAGAAAGUAAUACAUAAUCCCCGAUAAUAUAUGGAUUAACUUAAUAAUUUUUUUAUGGGUUCAUAUAAUUCAUAAAAUAAUUGCUUCCCUAAGUAAAUAAUCAAGGAUCUUUUUGUUUAUAUUUUUAUUUAGUUUUGAUUCGAAUUCUAGCUUUAAGGUUUAGAUUUUAUAUGUAUAUAUUUAUAUAUAUUUAAACUAUCAACGUCUUAGUGUUAUCAUUAUUUAUUUUAGGAAGUCCAAUUAGGUGAAAUGAAAUAAUUUUAAUCCUCAAUAGUCUUGGAGAAUCUUACUAAAUCCCAAAAUAGAAUUUUGGGUGUUAUAAAUUCUACCCCCCCUUAACAGAAAUCUCGUCCUCGAGAUUUGUAUGGACAGGGAUGUAAAUAAGCUUUAUUUAUAGUUUGGCCUUUAACUUCUAAUUAGUUUAUGAAUACAAGUUUCAUGUUAUUUAGAAAGUGGUUAUGGAAGCAUGGGUAUAUAUAUGUAUGUCCACUUGUGUAUAAAAAAAUCCUUGAUGGGUGAUUAGGAGAGUAUAGAUAUCUAGACGCUUAUUAUGUGGGUUGAUGAAUGGAUAGGUUGGGAUAACCAGGAUUAUGGUAAUAAGAGACUCCAUGUACAGUGGAUCUUGUUUCGUCUAGCGAUCCAACUUGAUCUUUGAAGACUUGAGUUGAUGCUUUUUCUCCCUUGACGUGGUUGGUCUUCUUUGGCCCUCAAUUCUAGAGUUGCCAUCCGAGUUAAGGACAUGUGGCUAAGUAUAUAUAAUUAGGAUAGCCAGGGUACACGAGGUAGGUGGGUUUGAACAAAGUUUUACUUUGCUUUUGUGAUAUCUAGAUUAGACAACCUAUGAUGUAGGUUAGGUUGUUGUUUACGGACGAGUUAGUCCAAGGUAUUAAUUUAGGGUAAGAUAUGUUUACAGAAUUAGGGUCUAAUUUAUGUCACCAACAUUAUCUAACUUAUUUAAGUAACUCAAUUUGGAUUAGAUCAUGUUAGAUUAGGUGGGAUCUAGAUCAGAUUAGUAUAACUAGAUAAGAUCUUAUUUAUUUUAGGCUAGAUCAUGGUUGUUACUGUAGAGUGGGAUAUGUAUACCAAGAUAAAUCCAUAAGGAUAAGGUAGAAUCUUUUGAGGUUAGUUAGAUCUAUUAAGGUGAGAUAAAAUCUUUUCAAGAUAAGAUGAGUCUAUUAAGAUAAGAAAUAAUCUUUCAAGAUAAGAUGAAUCUAUUAAGAUAAUAGAGUAUCUUUUAAGAUAAGAUGGAUUUAUGAGGAUAUAUAUAUUUUAAUGAGGGAUAAUCUAGUUUAUCUAGUUAUCUUAUGAAUUUUAUUUAUUUAUAUUUAUACUAUAUAUAUGCAGAUGUAAUUGUGGACAUUACUCCACAACUCAUCACACUCAAUCAAAGAUCCAAAUCAAACAAGUAUCAUAAGAACAAACAUUCAAGUUCAUAGAUAUCUAUAUAAAAGAAAAAUAAUUUUGUUUUUGUUCCUAAGAGUAGGUCUCCUAUUCCUAAAGGUCACUUUAGGUACAGAAUUUCAAAGUGUGAAAUCCACUUUUGUCUUUGGAGAGAAAAUGUAAGAAUAAUCAGAGUAAAGCGGAAAUAGAUGAGAAAAGAUUAAGGUAAGUUUAGAAAAGAAUCAGAGUAGCAAAGGUAAGUAGACAAUGGUUGUCCAGUUCUACCUAGGUUUCGUCCUACAGUCAACAUUCCUCUGAUACCACUUCUGUCACACCCGGAUUUUAGGGGUCAAAAACCCGGGCGCGAGCAUAAACACCAGGUGUGCUGGGACCAAGUCUCACACAUAUGAUGCAUAGUGGCACAGGAUCGAAUGUCACAUCUUUACUAUAUAACAGGAGUUCUGUACGAAAAUAAUUAAAUAAUUACAUCAUAUGAGGAAACGAUCCAGCAACCCAAAGUUGACUGGGAGACGACGGCCUAGACCUCUCACGAACACAUCGCAGCAUCCUCCAUGCGCCUCAUCCUGCAGUACGUGUUCUUGACCUGUGGGGGGGGUGUGAGACAGCAAGAGUGAGCUCACAUACGUUCAUCGCUCAACAAGUUGUGGGGAAUAAUGUGCAUGAACUCGCCAAAGGUGGGAGCUCACGUGAAAUGUAAGGCUUACCAAAGAGGAUGGUUGAAGCUGAGCAUUGCUUUUAAUGUUGGUCAAAAUUUUAUUAGCAAUUACUAAGUAUAAGUAAAUACCAACCCAAUUAAGUAGUAGAACAAAAGUAACAACAUCACCUGCGAUGCAAUGCAUAUGACAAAUUGAAUUUAGUUCCAUAAAUUAAUCAUGUGAGGGUCCGAGCCGCUCAUGACCGUGAGCACGGCUAGUAUACCAGUUUUACACUCUGCAGAGGUUGCGCAUCUUUACCCACAAGUCAUGUUACCCAUCUGCCAAGAGAUGGCCAAUCCCAUACACCUCUACCGAGGAGGCGAGGCAGGGUAACACUACGAGGCCUUUACAAAGUUCCACUAGCUUCAGAAAACCAGCUACAGUUUAUAGGAAGCUCCAAUGCAGGGUUCUCGCCUGACCGCCAUCGCAGCAAAAUCAACCAAGGACCUCCCUACACUGACCACUCCCCUACUGCCCUUGCCCCUUUCGGGUAAGGAAGACCUCCACUAGCUUUCCUAGUUAAUCAGCCAAGGGCGUCCCAUUAUACCCUUGUGGUAGCACUGUUUUCCCGGGUGGUCGCUCCAUGUUCGCAUUAACAAUAAUGAUCUUAACAUGAACAAUAAUAAUAAAAAGAUAAUAAAAAUGUAAUCAUGAAUAAUGUAUCUUCAUACCCAAAUCCACAUAAAGCAAUAUCAGGUACUACCCAAGAAUUUAGUAGUAAAAUCAGUGGUGAAACAAGGUAUAAAGAUAGUCAAAUCUAGGGUAACCUAUUGGGUCCCAUCAAAAUUAACCUAUGCAGAUCAUUAUAAUUAAUAAGAACAUGGCUAGAAAAAAGUAAGUGAUCAAGGGCACAACUUGCCUGGCACUUGAGAUUCCAGGUACCAACUUGCUCAUCAGGUGACUCGUGACCUCACACUAGUCGUAGCAAUACAAACAAACAGUGUAUAGGAAAAAUUAACAUCACACCAAACAUAUAUGCAAAAUACAUAUUAAUGAUCUACAUAUUAAAAUAAAAUCACAGGAACAAGAAUUAUUAAUUUUGAAGUUAUAGAUUUUAAGUUAUGGACUUCCAAAAGUUCUAGGUGCUAGGUACAAGAUUAAUUAGGAGAUUAAUUUUAAUAUGACUUUCAUGUCAAAAUAGUGAAAUAAAAUGAUAAACAAUAAUAUUACAAAAUUAAUGUCACUGAAAUGGAUCAAUUCGGAAUUAGAAUGGAUUUUCUAUGAAUUAAAUAAGUUUCUGAAAUUAUUUUAACACUAAAAUCAUUUUCUAAUUGAAUUUAUUUGGUUUCCUACUCCUCUGUACUGCGCGCAUCAAUCCAGAGAACUGUAGGGUGCCAUCUGUAAAUUCUUGGGCCAUCAUGCAAUUACUUUAGAACUGACUAGGAUCGCGGGUUGAUUAGCCAAUUGUUCAGGGUCUCUUUUACAAACUCACCCGCUCCGAAGGGGUAUGGGGUCACAAGAGCCGUCCGAUCACCAUUGAACCACCCUGAUCAGACCCCGAGGGUUUAUGAAGCUGUACGCAAUCAAGGUCGUUGGAUCAACGACCAGGCGCCUGGAUUUUAAGUCCUUAGGUCGAUUAUCACGCGCCGGAUCCACAUCGGACGACCGAGAAGAGUUCAGGCCAAACCAGAAUCCGGGAUCAAAUCCCAGCCCUUCAUCUGGGAUUGACGGCCCAUAUUCCACCCCCAUCGCCCAAGCCUGGUAACGGUGGCGCUGCCUGAGGCCACGGCGAGGCAUCGCCGGUGAGCCUACUGGAUGGCGGUCCUGUGCUCUAGAUCCCAAUCCGGGGAGCGCUACACGGAGACAAGAUCCCAACAACAGAUAUAGGUUCACGUACCAAUGGUGAGGAUGCUGAUAUUCUCCGACCACGGCGCUAGUGGUUCCGCGGCGAAGCAGCGGCAUGAGUGAGAAAUUCUGGUGGCCACGAGGUCCUUCUCCGCCCCCCGACGACAACGCAAGCAUCGAAGCUCGUCGUCGACCAAUGAACCGAGUGCAUCCAUCCCAAUACCUCGCGCGUGAAGAAGAUCCGUACUGCCGGUCACCACGGCAUCUUCCUUCUCUCCUUCUCUCUUGCCCCAGUCGGUGGUGGUGGCCAACACAGCAGCGGCAUCUGGCUUUCUCUCUCCAUCUCUCUCCGCUGCUUGCUCGGAGGCCUCACGAGUCUCGACGAU